GACGAACGCUGGCGGCGUGCUUAACACAUGCAAGUCGUACGGUAAGGUCCUUUCGGGGGUCCACGAGUGGCGAACGGGUGAGUAACACGUGCGUAACCUGCCCACAACUUUGGGAUAACGCUAGGAAACUGGUGCUAAUACUGGAUAUGUGCUCCUGCUGCAUGGUGGGGGUUGGAAAGCUCCGGCGGUUGUGGAUGGACUCGCGGCCUAUCAGCUUGUUGGUGGGGUAGUGGCCUACCAAGGCGGCGACGGGUAGCCGGCCUGAGAGGGUGACCGGCCACAGUGGGACUGAGAUACGGCCCAGACUCCGACGGGAGGCAGCAGUGGGGAAGAUUGCACAAGGGGCGCGAGCCUGAUGCAGCACCGCCGCGGGCGGGAGGACGGCCUUCGGGUUGGAAACCGCUUGCAGCAGGGACGAAGCUUUUUGUGACGGUACCUGCAGAAGAAGCACCGGCUAACUACGUG
rnacentral:rRNA from 1 species